rnacentral:ncRNA from 1 species
UUACAAACGAUGAUGAAGAGUAGUAAAUAAUUUUUCAUGCAUAACAGAGAACUGAUUACUUGGUGGAAUAUCAGUAUGCAGGAAUUAUUGAAUGGACUUCAGAGUGUUUUUCCGAAAAAUGUCCGCUGGCAAAUGGAGUAGGAAAAAACGUAUUUCCGACGUUAUACGGAUAGGGUAUCGGAGGUUUCCUGUACCUGAUAAAGAUGGAAAGAUGAAUCUUUCUAACAGAGGUGGCACCGCGGCCCUAUCGUCCUCUAU